UAGCGCGGCGUUCCUUUGGAAGGGAUACAUUCAACACUCUCGGAAGUAUGCUGUCAAUCCUCAAAAGAAAAUUUCAUUAUUGGUUCUUUUUUUUUUUGGAUCAACUGGUUAUUCAUAAAUCACACAAAACUAAUUAAACAACAUUCUAGUCGUUUACUGUUACAAAUUUACAUUCAUAUUGUUAUAAUUUUAUUUAAAAGUGCAUUAUCGGAAAUAUGUGAUUCACAUUUCCGCAUCAAUAACGAAUAAAUCUUUUAAUGUAUGAAAUGUGAAUAACUCUUAUGUUAUAGAUAAGGCCUUAUCUAUAAAAGAAAAUUGUGUCUGUAACCUUGUAAAAGGAUUUCUUUGUAUUUGGCCCUUCAAAUUAAUUUCAUCUUUUGGCCUCCCAAUGUAAGAACUCUAGCUUCUCCUCUCAGAAUUUGAAAGCUUUCUUAGAGAAAAACUUUCGUUAAGUAAAUAAGUUUGUUAUAAGCAGUUAACAGAAAUAAAAUGAUAAAGAAAAAAAAAUUCUAGCCGUACAUAAAAAUAUAUAUAGUAGUGUUUUUUUUUUAAACAUUAAAUUAAAAUCUAAUGAGAUCACGAAUAAAAAAUGUCAAGAUUAGUGGUGGAACAAGAAUUUAGUUUGAGAGGGCAUAUAUAAAUAAUGGAGAAAUCAUAAACUCAUGUAAGCGAUUAUUAUGAAAGUAAUUUAACAGCCAACUAACAUCGGUAACUACAUUUACACUAAAUUAGAAAUAAUAAUAUUACAUUGCUGCAUAAUGUUUUCAUGAAAAUCGACUGUUGCGUUGUUAAUGGUUAAUUUUCGAGGCCUAAAACAGAAUGUCGCAUGUCUAAGGAGAAAGGUCAGGAAUCCUCAUCAUAGGGGAAGUCCAUCUCAUUUGUUCCUUAACAUCUUAAAGCCCCCCUAGGGCAGUAGAAAAUAUCCGAAGAGGAACAAGUAGGUGAUGAUUGACAGCGGAGACCAUGAAUUCAACCUGAGCCAUACUGGGUUCUGGAGUUUCUCCUAAGCCAGCUUAGUUUUUCCUAGGCUUGAUAUGACAAGGCCUCCACUACAUUUCACCAACUCGAUUAACCUAUAGACCAAUAGGUUUGUUCCAACUAAUCAUCAUCCUCUCCAAAUAAACUUUAACUACUCUCCAAAUAAACUUUAACUAAUCUCCUGGUGGUGAAAGGUACAGCGCCUAAAUUGAUCGUGUUCCUGGAAGACCAGUAGACAUGCCUAGCCCCUAAAAAAUCAAAGAGCAUCAAAAUUCAAUGAGGUGCCUAAAAUUCAUCAAGGGAAUGCCACUUUUCAAGUAACUUCAGUCCCUAACAAACUCAAAGAGACCAACAAUCAAAAGAGUAUAUAUGCGUGUAUAGCUAUAUGGAAAAUAUUACAGGGGCUCCAAUAUUUGAAUAGAACAUACAUGUAUCAUUUACCCUAAUUGAAGAGGGGCAGGACCAAUAAGUCUCUCACGUGUCCACAUAGACUCAAAGACGUCCUCAGGGACACCUCGGUCAGGUCAAGUUUAUAAGUAAAAAGGAUCUCCUUCCUCAUUCUCAUCUUCUUAAUUUCAGUUGUUACCUAGUUACUAAAAAAUCCUCACUACUUUCUCCAGCCUAACUUGACUAUCGGAGUACCGUCGCCGACCACCCCGAAUUCAACUUCUAACAGUGUCUUUUUUUUUUUUUUUCUUGUAAAUCCCUAAGGCACUUUCCCCACUUUACAGAUGCCUCGAGAGGAAGUUCCUCCGACGUCCCUUAAACACACAAAAGAUAAUCUUCUCAAACAUUUUAGCUCGUCAACAAUGGACUAAAACAUAUUUCAUUUUUUUGAGAAUGAAAUUGUACUAAUUACUAAACAUAUAAUAAAUUAAAUUCACAUGGGAAGGUAUGGGUGUGAUUGAAGUUAAUUUGAUAUGUUGACGUGGUUCACAUAUUUAAGACAAGCCGAGUCCAUGUGUUGCUCACAUGCAUAUGCUCACUCGCCGCCAUGUGUCUUUAUCGAAGUGUUCUAUUGUAUUAAAUGGAAUGCCAAAUUAAAUGUACAUAUAUUUCUAGUAGUUCUCGAGGAUCAGAAUUAUUGAUGCGACUUUAAAUGUAACAUGUUUUUUAUGUUGUCUCUAAGCAUGUUAUACAAAACAUAUUGUUUUGGAAAUAAAAAAUAUAUAUAUUAUUCCUUAUUUUUUAAAAAUAAGAUAAUUUUUUUUGGGCNNNNNNNNNNNNNNNNNNNNNNNNNNNNNNNNNNNNNNNNNNNNNNNNNNNNNNNNGGGGGGGGGGGGGGGGGGGGGAGAAAAAAACAUGAUAUGUAAAACACACGAAUGCAAGGUUGCCAAUAGUUUCUAAGAAGUUAGACACAACAAAUACAAACAAAAUAGAAAGUUUGUUGAGUUGUGUCUACAAUUUUUUGUUUUCCUUUUUUCUCCGGGAUAUACAAAUUUUUUAAACGGCUUUGCGGCGAUAAAACAAAGUUCUGACUUGCAAUUUUCAAUAUAAAAACCUUGAAAUAUACUUAAAUGCUUCUCCUUGAAGAAUCUUAGGAAUAAAAAAAUUAAAAUUAGUUCAACAUUAUAAUAUUAAUGUAUAUAGAGAAUAUAUAGAUUUUCGUAUUUAUGAUUUGAAUUAAAAAUUUAGGGUAGUUACCACCGUUUGGUCCAAAUUCUAGAAGAGGGAGCGCCCCAUGUCUCUCUUAUCCCCUUAUACUUAAUUAUUUUACCUUCUCAAAAUUUCUACAAGAAAAAAAAUUUAAUAAUAAUUGGAAGCAAUAAACUAGAAAAAAAAAUGGUAUACGUAAUUGCAUAAUAAAUAAAAAAAAUAGACACUUUUUCAAUAACCAGCACUUUUCCACAUGUGUAUCGCUAUCAGUAACAAAUCUGAACAAAUAAAAAAGGAUAAUAAAGAAGAGUAGCAUAAAAAUAAAAUCGGUUAGUUCACAAAGAGAGAGAGAGAGAGAGAGGAAUCGAUGACCAACAACUUUCCAGUUGGUACGUGAAUGAGGACAAAAUGUUGGCAAAAAACCCCUUAUCAAUUUCUGGUUUCAUAUUACUACUGCUCAGUUGUCUUUUUUAAAAAAAAUAAAUUAUUUAUUAAGAAAAUUUUAUUACUAAAAUAUCGUGAAUUUACAGUUAAUUAUAAGCUUUCUUUUGAUUGAUUUACAGGUUCAACAAUUUCUCUGUUUCUAUUUUUUUUUUUUUUUGGUUCUCGGUUACUUUUCUACUUAAGAGUAAAAUUCGUAAUGAUGAAGUUCAUUAAUUAAAAAAAGAAAGUCGAGAAUUUACCUCCUACGGUAAAUAAUAAUAAUAAUAAUAAUAAUAAUAAUAGAAAAUAAUCAUUUUGGAGACGAAAUGAGUUUAAAAAGUGAUGCGAUUCGAAAAACUGUCGUGAGAAAAAGUGUGAUUCCGGUUAAAAGAAAUUCAGCUUUACCUUCAACAAUGAGUUGCACGAAACGCUAGAAAAGAGCAUCUGGUGCAUUGCCUUGCCUCGGUUCAUGCCGCCGUUAUCACGUUUCACAAAACACUGGGCCCCCCAUUUUGUAACAGCAACCUUUGCAAAUUUCCCAUUUCACCCCUCUCCCUCCCCUUCUUUAUAUUCGAACCUUCGCUCUCCUUUCUCAGCCCCCAAACAAACACUCACAUCUAUUUCUCUCUCUCUCUCUUCCCCCCCCCCCCCCCCCCCCCCNNNNNNNNNNNNNNCCCCCCCCUCCCCCUCAGAGGCAUUUUCACGAACGCAUCACAAACAUUUUAUUCUUUUUUCAAAAUGGCGAAAGGUGGCAAGCUGAUGAAGCUCAAGUCAGUUCUGAAGAAGCUCAACUCAUUCAACAAACAAAACGGCAUCGGCGGAGGAAGCUGCAGGCCCGGCAUGAGCUCCGCAGUGGCCGCCGCGGACGAUUCCUCCGCCAACUACUCGGGUGAUCUUCACCCCGUUUACGUGGGAAAGUCCCGGAGACGAUACCUCGUCAGCUCAGACAUCAUCGACCACCCACUCUUCAAAGAGCUCGCCGAACGCUCCAGCGACUCGUCAGACGCCGUCCACGUGUCCUGCGAGGUCGUCUUGUUCGAGCACUUGCUUUGGAUGCUCGAAAAUGCAGAUCCCCAGCCGGAGUCUUUAGAUGAACUCGUUGAGUUCUACGCUUGUUAACUGCUCGCUCUCAAGCUCAAGGGUGCAUGGUAAUAUUAAAUUGGUGGCGUGGGGUGGGGUGAUUCUGUGAGGUCACCUGCAUGGUAAGAAAAAAGAAAAUCGCUGUAAAUGAUGUAAUUGUAAUAAUAAUGAUAUGAUUAGCGGUGUACUUAUAGAUGAUAAAAGAUACAUAGUAGAGAGUGGAUGAACGGUGAGGAAUUAACCCAUGUAUUUUUACACCGGCUAAUCGCUAGGCCUGGUGAGAGACCGAGGGAGAUCAAAUCAUUGAUCUAUUGUUCUUAUUUAUUUAUGUAUUCAUUGUUCUUUCUUUUUUCACAUUAAUUAAAUUAAUAUAAUUGUGUGUUCAUUUUUUAUGAUUUUCCUUUAAUUUUUUUUUAGAAACUGUUGUUCUUCAAUAAUUAUUCUAACGAUGUUGCUUUAAGGUGAUGUUG
rnacentral:lncRNA from 1 species